UUCCUCCUAUCUUGUUUGAAGUUCGCAUUUGGCCGUCAAUGUUCCCGGCAAAAUUCGGGAUGGUAUUUUCCUAGAGAAUCUAUUCAAUUAUAUUUGGGAAAAUGGCGAAUCUUAGCUCCGAAACUGAAGUAUUUCACAACUGGAUUUGAAAUUCUCGAUGAGCGGAAGAAAAAAUGGCUUGAAUUCUUCCGUCUUUUACUCGUUUUCUGGAUUUUGAUAGUGCAACAGGUUGCGAGGCUGAUUAGGGCAGUGAUUUUGAAGCUUCAAUGUUGAAGGCUGUGUUUCAAGGAUGAUGGAAGGAAGAGGUUGAACCUAGACAAAUAAGGUAAAUAUGCAAUUCCACACAGUUUUGAGAUCAGAGAAACAAAUUGAUCCAGUUUUUAGGUCAAUUUUCUAUCGUACCUUUUAUUGUAGUUUAUUGUUUGUUCUUGUGUUGCAUGAUAUCUGCGUCAGUUUUGGAUCCCCAAAUGAUAAGAGUUCUGUGUAAUUACUUACCUCAAAUUCACCAGCUUCGUUCGUCAAUACCUCUCAUUUUAUUCAUACCCAGAAAUUUCUAUCUAUUUGUUCAAUCACCAGUAACUCUGAGAUGUCGAAAUAAGUGUACCACCAUAAAUUCUUCCAUUAAUUGCUGUGGCAUUGCGCAAACUCUCAUAUCAAGGUGUUCUGUUUUGCUUGAGAAGGAAGAGAAUGGCUCUGUAUUGCCUAAUUCUUGUCUCAAGGACUUUUUAUUGGAAAUAUCUGAUGUUGUACCGGAACAUGUGCGUAGAAUUAGGCGAGUUUCGGAGUUAAAGCCUGAAGAUGUGCUUAAAUUGUUUCUUGGGUUUCAAUCAGAGGUUGGGGAUAAUGGAAUUCAAGUUAAGAAAGUUGAGUGUUUAUGGAGAAUUUUGAAGUUUGUUAAUGAAAGUAAUGGGAGCUUCAAGCAAUUACCGAGGUUGUACGAGGUUAUGGCCUCGCUACUCGUUCAAGUUGGGAAGUAUAAGGAAGUCGAGCAGUUUCUUUCUGAGAUGGAGAUUCAAGGAAUCUUACUGGAUAAUCCUGAAGUUUUUAGUUGUAUAAUUCAAGGUUUUGUUUGUGAAGGUAAUCUUGAAAAGGCUAUUUUGAUAUACGAAAAAGCGAGGCAGCGAUGUAUUUCUCCGUCUUUGUCAUGUUAUCGUGUUCUACUAGAUUCUUUGGUUCGUAUUAAGAAAACACAAGUAGCACUUGGAGUAUGUACGGAUAUGGUGGAGAUGGGAUUUGAUUUGGGGGAUGACGAGAAGGCUGCUUUUGAGAAUGUCGUUGGACUACUUUGUUGGCAGGGAAAGGUUCUUGAAGCUAGGAACCUUGUGAAGAAGUUCGUGGCUUCAGAUUUUAGGCCUAGUGAUGAGGUUCUUUAUCGAAUUACGAGGGGUUACUGUGAGAAGAAGGACUUUGAAGAUUUGCUGAGUUUCUUCUUUGAAAUUAAGAGUCCCCCAAAUGUUUUUUCUGGCAACAAAAUCAUUCAUUCUCUCUGUAAAAAUUUUGGGUCCGAAAGUGCGUGCCUGUAUCUACGAGAACUUGAGUGUACAGGUUUCAAGCCUGAUGAAAUAACCUUUGGGAUUUUGAUAAGUUGGAGCUGUCGUGAGGGAAAUCUUCGAAGCGCUUUUAUUUAUAUGUCGGAGUUAUUGUUUAGUGGCCUAAAACCAGAUUUACAUUCAUAUAAUGCUCUCAUCAGCGCGAUGUUGAAGGAGGGCCUCUGGGAGAAUGGCCAAGGUAUUCUUGCUGAAAUGGUAGAGCGGGGAACCGAACCUAAUUUAUCGACUUUCAGAAUUCUUUUAGCAGGCUAUUGCAAAGCUAGACAAUUUGAAGAAGCAAAGAAAAUAGUUCUUGAAAUGGAAAGAUGUGGUUUUAUUCAACUGUCUCCAGUGGAUGAUCUAUUGUGCAAAAUAUUCUCUUUCUUGGGGUUUAAUGAUUCAGCAAUUAGGUUGAAAAGAGACAACAAUGUUGGUGUUUCUAAAACCGAGUUCUUCGAUACCCUUGGAAACGGACUUUAUUUGGACACUGACGUGGAUGAAUAUGAGAAAACGCUUACCGAAGUUCUCGAAAAGUCAAUAUUACCGGAUUUUAAUUUGUUUAUUGUCAAGGAGUGCAAAAACAGAGAUCUUAAAGCUGUAUUAAGGUUGACAGCUGAAAUGGAUCGAUGGGGUCAAGAACUAACUUCAGUAGGUUUGAUGGGUUUAUUGAAAAGCCAUUGUAAAUCGAAUUCGAGAAUCAAGCCUAUCAUUGAUGUUUGGAAGAGAAGACCAGAUAUGAUUGCUCAGUUAGAAGCAGACACCUUAAAUUUACUUGUGCAAGCGUAUAGCAAAAAUAGGUUGACUUCUUGUGGAAUCGGAACACUAAACGAAAUGAUCCGAAUGGAUGUUAGAAUAGAGAAAGAAACAUACAGCGCUCUGAUAAAUAGUUUGUGCAAAAUAGGAAACUUAAGUGACCUUGUUGGUUGUUGGGAUAGAGCUCGAAAAGAUGGUUGGGUUCCGGGAUUGCUCGACUUUAAAUCACUUAUCAGUUGUCUUUGCAAGAAAGGAGAACUCAAACAAGUUGUCGUCCUCCUCGAAACCAUGUUGGUGUCUUAUCCACAUUCGAGGUUGGACAUACUUAAUAUAUUCCUUGAAAGGCUUUCAGAAGCCGGGUUCCCUGCAAUUGGACGGGUAUUGGCUAAGGAGCUUACGUCCCUCGGAUUUUCUUUGGAUCAAAAGGCAUACGAACUUCUUAUUAUAGGAUUAUGUAAGGAGAAUACUGUUUCAAUAGCAAUUAACAUGUUAGACGAUAUGAUGGCUAUGAGUAUGGUUCCGUGCAUUGAUGUUUGUCUUCUAUUAAUUCCUACUUUAUGUAAGAUUGGUAGAUAUGAAACUGCUAUUGCAUUAAAAGAGAUCGGAACUACCAAGCUAUCGUCUUCUUCACGUAGGGUGUACGGUGCACUAAUGAAAGGUUUCUUUACGACGGGAAAGGUUAGAGAAGCCUUGGCACUACUCGAGGACAUGUUGUCUAAAGGUCUUUCUCUAGAUGCUGAGAUAUAUAAUCUUCUGAUUCAAGGACAUUGCAAAGCGAAAAACUUCGAAAAAGUGCGGGAGCUACUGGGCGUUAUGUUAAGGAAGGACUUAAGCCUUUCGAUAUCAAGUUACGGGAAAUUAGUUCGUUUAAUGUGUAGGGAAGGAAGAAGUCUCCAGGCAUUGCAUCUAAAGGACAUCAUGCUUAGAAACAGCAAAUCUCAUGAUUCUGUUAUCUAUAACAUUCUGAUCUUUUAUAUUUUUCGAAGUGGAAACUGUUUUCUUGUGGGAAAAAUUUUGGAUGAACUAUUACCUGAUAAUGUAACCUAUAAUUUUCUAGUAUAUAGAUUUUCUCAGUGCAAGGACUUCUCAAGUUCCACAUAUUAUCUCUUUACCAUGAUCCGACGAGAGUUUCGGCCCAGCAAUCGGAGCUUGAAUGCUGUAAUAAGCCACCUUUGUGAUACCGGACAGCUCGAGAAAGCGUUAGAGGUGAGCCGGGAGAUGGAAUUUAGGGGAUGGAUUCAUAAUUCAGCUGUACAGAAUGCAAUAGUUGAGUGUUUCAUUUCAUAUGGAAAGCUUCAAGAAGCAGAAUGUUUUUUGAAUAGAAUGGUUGAGAAGAGUCUCAUCCCGAAACAUGUGGAUUACAAUAACAUUAUCAAGCAAUUUUGUCAGAGUGGAAGAUGGUUGAAGGCAAUGGAUUUAAUAAACAUAAUGCUUAAGCAAGGAAACAUACCAAAUGCUUCAAGUUAUGAUUUUGUCAUUCAAUGUUGUUGUAAUUACAAGAAGUUGGAAGAAGCGUUAGAUUUACAUACCGAGAUGUUGGAUCGAUGCCUAAAGCCGAGCAUCACGACGUGUGAUAAACUUGUGUCUUCGUUAUGCAGAGAAGGGCAGAUGAAAGAAGCCGAAAGGGUUUUGAUGAGCAUCUUAGAGAUGGGUGAAAUACCGAGCAAGGAUGCGUACUGCUCCAUGCUUAACAGGUACCGCUAUGAGAAUGAUCUUGAAAAGGCAUCUGAGACGAUGCGAGCGAUGCAGCAAAGUGGUUAUGAGUUGGAUUUUGAAACACAAUGGUCUCUCAUAAGCAAACUAAGCGAUACCAGUCUCGAGAACAACAACAACAACAAUAACAGUAACAAAGGGUUUCUCUCAGGACUUCUUUCUAAGAGUGGAUUUUCUCGGGCAUCGAUUCCUUAGCAAUGCCGAGACAGAGAUUGCGAAGGUCAUCAUUCUUUGUUUUUGUCCGGGGCAUGAUUUGGGACCUGGACGAUGAAACUAAAUGUGAGCGCGACUCUCCCAACUCGGCUUCGCUUGAAGUAGACCGACGAUCAGAUCCCUGUCGUUUGCUCGAGAGAUUUGAUUUACCUUAUUGGAGUACAAGAUGUUGUAGGGACAAGUAGUUGUUAUGUGAGAAUUGUGAGCUGCACAUAAUUUAUACCGCACAGUUUGUAGCCAUCCAAGCAGCCUUUUCCAUCAUAAAGUGGAAAAGGAUAGAGCUUCAAGAAGGAUAUCUGAUGUUUUCUCCCCUGGAUAUGAACAUGGUUUCUGGUGGGUUGUGUGCAACUUGUACGUAUCCGAGAAGAAAAAUCGUUUCUGAUUGCAUCUUCUACAAGUUGUGGGUGUAACGGCACAAGUCCUCCGCUAGCAAAUAUUGUUUUCUUUGGGCUUUCUCUUUCGGG